ensembl:lncRNA
CAAAUGCUCUUCUUCAUCUCCACCUCCUUGGCUUCCAUGGUUUCUUCCUUCAAGUUUGACCUAACACCCCAUCCCCUACAGAAAGCCUUUCUUCAUCCCUUUUGUUGUUGGCGUCUUCCCUCUAUUAUCAUGCUACACAAGAAAAAUCAGAUCAAAAUGGGAAAAAACGAGAAAGAAAACAAAAAAGCAAGCAAGCAACAAAAAAAGUGAAAAUACCAUGCUGUGAUCCACACUCAGCCCCAGUGUCCUCUCUCUGGGUACAGAUGGCUCUCUCCAUCACAAGACCAUUGGAACUGGCCUGCCUCACCUCAUUGUUGAAAAGAGCCCUGUCCAUCAAAAUUGAUCAUCAUCUAAUCCAAUACAACUUUCAAAGUCAGCAGGAGAAGUCUGUUGCAUUAGAGUGAGAGUGGAGUGCUGUCCAACACAGGCUGUGCCAAAGCCAGCCAGAUCCCAGCAAACCAGCAGCUGACCUUGGUGGUGACUGAAUCAGAGGCAGUAGCUGGAUCUUCUGAGUCACUUUGCUAGUCCUGGGUGCAGGACUCUGUUGCAUUGACCAUACUCAAGUCUGGAUUGCAUCCCUGGAUUGCAGACCCUGGACAAAGAGGAGCAUUAGAACAUCAGCAUUUGUGGACUCAGAGGAGAGGGUUCCAGAACAAAAAAGAGUGCUUUUGGUCUCUCUCAGAAAGCACAGGCCAGGAGAGUAGUAAAUACACAUGUCCUUAGAUCAUAUCAUCUUGAAGGAACUAAAAAUUUGCAGACCCCCAGAACUAACCUGAAAAACAGCUGCAUAAAUAACCUGAAGCUUAGGACAGUGUUCCCUCCACUCCAUGAGCAAAGUACAACUUUAAUUCUGGGAAACAAAUGGCCACCCAGGCUGUGUAGAAUGUGACCAAGUUAGCGGCAUUUUUUCCUUUUUAUCUAUUCAAAGUUAUUUUGCUCACCUAUUAUACUGCCUGCACCCUAAAGCCCAUGCUCACACUAGAGAGCAGCAGAGCUCAUGCUGCCAUCUGUAUGAACCCCCUCCAUUGAGGUGUCCAUAAGAGAUAAACACUGCUCCAAGGAAUUAUGACAAGAAAGGCUUUUUCUACAUCCUUGCUAUCUCCAUGCAGUAUAAACUCUCUCCUCCUUCCCUCACUCUCUACCCAGUCCCAUAGAUUUUCUCCCCAGUACAUUGAUCUUCCCCCUUCUCAGACUAGAGAAAAGUCUCUCCAUCCCCAGGAUCACAGGGACUACAACUGCCCACACCCCACCUCUGUUUUGUGCCUGCUGCAGUCUAUUGUCCUGGUUGCAGGAGUCCCACACCCACUUUCCCUACAGUAGUGCCCUACCUCCAUAGUGGUGAUGGAGGGGAGUGAAGUACCCCACCCCUAUGGCUGUAAAUGUGCAGUUGUUUCCUUCUCCUCCUCCCUUUUUGUGAACAACUAAAGCUAAAAUAGGAUAAAGGACAGAUCUUUUAGGCUAGCAGAAGAGGUUGUGCAUGUGCUUGCAUUAAGGCCUAUGGGGAACAAGUACCAGGCUAAUAGGGCAAGAGUGGGAGACAUCUCCCUUCCCAUGAACAUAGUUAAGCAUGAACUGCUGACACCAUUGAAAUGGCAAAGUAGUUUGUUGGCAAGCAUCAGUGAGAAAAUAACCGCUCCUUCUAUAUAUUAUUAUAGAUAAUUUUCUCUGUUAUGUGCAAAGAUAAAUCUUUUCCAAUUAUCUCAUCUGAUCCUCAUUACAACCCAGCAAGGUGGUGCUGGGGGAGGCAUCUAAGGACUAAGGAUAGGUGCAAGAUAACUAAGCUAGGAAGGACCAUGGUCAGGCAAGUGAAGAACUGUUAUGAGAAGGAAACUCAGGGGCUAUCUAAUCAAUAUCUCAUUUGUCCACUGUAAAUUACAGAUUAGUUGUUAAUCUUUUCUGGUACAGGGAAUUCCCAUAUAGGGACCUGGCUUCCAUCUACAAAGACCACUGAGAAUUAAAAAAACAAAAUAUGUUCAGUUAACUACCUCCAACUUUCCCUAAACUCCCAUGAUUCAGGAACAACCUGAAACCCAGAAGUAACACAC